GCACUUGUAGCUCAGUGUUAGAGCGCCAGUCUUGUAAACUGGGUGUCGGAGGUUAAAAUCCUCCCCUUUGCU
rnacentral:tRNA from 1 species